rnacentral:rRNA from 1 species
CACGUAGGGUGCGAGCGUUGUCCGGAAUUAUUGGGCGUAAAGAGCUCGUAGGCGGUGUGUCGCGUCGGCCGUGAAAACUUGCAGCUCAACUGUGGCGUGCGGUCGAUACGGGCAUCACUGGAGUUCGGCAGGGGAGACUGGAAUUCCUGGUGUAGCGGUGAAAUGCGCAGAUAUCAGGAGGAACACCGAUGGCGAAGGCAGGUCUCUGGGCAUUAACUGACGCUGAGGAGCGAAAGCAUGGGGAGCGAACAGG